rnacentral:lncRNA from 1 species
AGAGUCCACAUAUGUUCGGGGGAGGGACCCCAGAAGGCGGCUGACAGUAUUCCUUUAGCCAGAAAUCCCUUCAGGGAAGAGAAAGGUGCUCCCCUUUGCCUGCUUUUAUACUACAGACUGUUUCCAACUCCAGCUAGAAGUGACUAUUGCCGAUUAUGUAUUUUCCAGAAAAUAUUUCAAGCAGAAUAUACUUAUUUUCCAGUUUUGAAAACAACUAGAUUGCCCAUCUCCAUUUCUCUCUAUCAUCUACUGUAUUAUUCUAUGGACAACUGCCACCCUAAUAAGGUCAAGAAGGGAAGCCAGAAGUCAAGGCCACAGAAGACACAGGAAACAUCAUUUCCAAAGUGGGAGACAAAGCUGUUAACAGGAAAUUAUUUGUAAAGUCAAGAGCCAAGCAAAACAGAAAAAGGACAAGAAAUCUAUCACCUGUGGGUAUGAAUGGUUCUAGGGAAGUCUGUUGACAAUUGGAGGGUCUCAAAGGCGCUUUAUGGUACUUAUUUUAUGACCCUGAGUCUGGAGUCUGAUGAAUUAAAGAGGAAAUUCUGCUCUGGGCAACAUUUAAGAGAUAGUAUCUCCAGGCAGUAACUUUCGUAUUAACUCUCAUAAGAUUGAUGCCAUUCUGUCAUCUAAAGUGUGGACAAAAGUAGCAUUAAAGCAAAAUGAAAGGA